rnacentral:rRNA from 1 species
AUUGAACGCUGGCGGAAUGCUUUACACAUGCAAGUCGAACGGCAGCACGGACUUCGGUCUGGUGGCGAGUGGCGAACGGGUGAGUAAUAUAUCGGAACGUGCCCAGUCGUGGGGGAUAACGUAGUGAAAAUUACGCUAAUACCGCAUACGAUCUAUGGAUGAAAGCGGGGGAUCGCAAGACCUCGCGCGAUUGGAGCGGCAGAUAGCAGAUUAGGUAGUGGGGGAGGUAAAGGCUCACCAAGCCGACGAUCCGUAGCUGGUCUGCGAGGACGACCAGCCACACUGGAACUGAGACACGGUCCAGACUCCUACGGGAGGCAGCAGUGGGGAAUUUUGGACAAUGGACGCAAGUCUGAUCCAGCCAUUCCGCGUGCAGGACGAAGGCCUUCGGGUUGUAAACUGCUUUUGUACAGAACGAAAAGGUCUCUAUUAAUACCAGGGGCUCAUGACGGUACUGUAAGAAUAAGCACCGGCUAACUACGUGCCAGCCGCCGCAGUAAUAC